UGAAGAAUAUUGGGCAAUGGGCGAAAGCCUGACCCAGCAACGCCGCGUGAGGGAAGAAGGUUCUCGGAUUGUAAACCUCUGUCCCAUGGGAAGAAACAAAUGACGGUACCAUGGGAGGAAGCCCCGGCUAACUACGUGCCAGCAGCCGCGGUAAUACGUAGGGGGCAAGCGUUGUCCGGAAUUAUUGGGCGUAAAGGGUGCGUAGGCGGCCUUUCAAGUUGGAUGUGAAAUCCCCGGGCUUAACAUGGGAAUUGCAUUCAAAACUGGAGGGCUUGAGUGUGGAAGAGGUAAGUGGAAUUCCCAGGGUAGCGGUGAAAUGCGUAGAUAUUGGGAGGAACACCAGUGGCGAAGGCGACUUAAUGGGCCACAACUGACGCUGAGGCACGAAAGCGUGGGGAGCAAACA
rnacentral:rRNA from 1 species